AUAAAAACUUUAAACCGAUGUUACACUCGCACGUAACGUUAGUUUAGUCUGAAACUAUCCGCACCAUGAAGCUAUUUGAGUACUAACUUUAACUUAAAUUACCUUUUCCAGGGGUGAAACGUCCACAAAACUCCCACUGAUUUACAUUCGGCGUUUACAUUUUUCGCAUUAAUGUUACACGUCCUUCUCUUUACUUACUGAAAACAAUAUUUUCGUGCCGUGAUUCAGCCAGUUUAGUCCAUAUGGCACCACCACCCCUCCAUUCACUCACCGCGGCGACCACAAAGCGUCUUUCAUUGUAACCAUGACAGCGUAACGUCUCUGGGUCAUGUGACAUCUCCUUCUGACCAAUCAGCGCGCCCGUCACGUUCAAUAUUCAAACGGUUGACUUGAUGCUAUUGGCUGAUAUGGAUGACAGUUGACAGCCUUUGUUUUGCUCCAGAGCAAAUCUAAUUAGAAAGCCUUUAAGUUAUUUAACUAAAAUAUAGACAUAGCCUACUGGGAUUGAAUCAUUCCCGCAACACGUCACAAAGGACCUAGUUACAUGUAUGUAUACCUAAUGUAUGUAUACCUAACACGUCACAAAGGACCACGUUACAUGUAUGUAUACCUAAUGUAUGUAUACCUAACACGUCACAAAGGACCACGUUACAUCUUCAAUCACUUUGCACGUGGAUUUCUCCCUUUCUCACUUUGCACGUGGGUUUCUCACUGUCUCUUCUACACUGGAGCAGCAGGAUUUUACUACUGUGGAUGGUCUGUAAACAAUACCUCUCUGGUCAAAGGGCUUCAACGGUUGCAUACACUGUCACGUGGCUUAUAUGUAACAACACAACAGGUACAAACAGCGUUGCAUUUUCAUUUUCAUGUAGCAGUGCCUUCCAUGAAGUUUGUGUAGUGUGUGAUGGAACCAACUUAAUCUCCAGUUCCUCCAAAUCCUCUAAAAAUAGGCUAAAAGGUAAAGACCUUACCUUCUGUGUAGUUAGCAUUUCAUUAAUAACCUUGUAGUAACAAUGAAAAACAAGAAGUGAUUAGACUGUGUGUUGUUUUAUUAGCAGAAAUGCAGAGAUAAGAACAAGGACAUCUUUACAUCUUAAAGUUUAGAAAUCUCAGGAAAGAAAACAUGUUUUUUAGCUUCUGACUUGAGGUUUGCAUUUGUAUCUAAUCCUAAAUGUACAGUGCCACCUCAGAUUAAACACGUUAUUUGUUUGUCCUUACUCUGUCCAAUUAAUGGGCAAUAAAGAAUCUGUGUGGUCGCAGAGAUGCACAAUCGUAAGUUGCUGGACGUGAAUAGAAGAAUGAGCAAGUGGACUCAAUAUCUGUUUGGGUUGUAUUUAUUAUAUCUAAAUAAACCUUGCCUUCUACCGUUCUAUCAGUUGAAA